rnacentral:misc_RNA from 1 species
AACUUAUGUCUGUAUGAAACACUACCGUUCCGGAAGUUGGAACGUUAAAAAAAGACAGAUGGCCAUCUUCUUGAAGAUAGACAGAGUGAUACGUCUGAGCACAUAACGAAAGGCACUUCAUAUCAGUAGAGUUCCAGUAGACAUCGUGCCAGGAUGGGUUCCGUUGUCCAAUGCAUUAUGGAAGAAAGCAGCAGAAUAUGGAAACUACGAGAUUUGAGAACGGACGGCUGGCCGCUGACACAUUCGCCGAUGACUCCAGUGCUCAUGUCUCUUUCCUAUCUUUUUAUGGUCAAAAUUUGGGGUCCGAAGUUGAUGGAAAGUCGGAAGCCUUUCCAAUUGCGAGGUGUACUAAUUAUCUACAAUGCAUUUCAAAUCGUUUUCAAUGGUUGGAUGUUUUGGGAAAGUAACCGAGUGACGUGGUUCAACGGCUAUAGCAUCAUCUGUCAACCUGUGGAUUACUCACUAAACGAAGAUGCCCUUCGCAUAAUCUUUAUCGGCUAUUGCCUUUACAUCUCCAAGUUGAUUGAUUUUCUUGAUACGCUGUUUUUCAUCUUACGUAAAAAGGACAAUCAGAUCACUUUCCUUCACGUCUUUCACCACAGCUUUACGCCGCUCUCCGUAUGGCUUUGCUUCCGAUUCAUUGCCGGUGGACAGAGCUGUUUCUUUCUGACGUGCAAUACGUUGGUACACGUUGUAAUGUACUUCUAUUACAUGAUGGCGGCGAUGGGUCCGCGGUUUCAAAAGUACCUGUGGUGGAAAAAAUACCUCACCGUUUUUCAAAUGGUUCAAUUCGUCUUGGUUGGUUUUCAUAGCAUACAAUUACUUUUCAUUGACUGUGACUAUCCUAAAGCCUAUUCUUGGGGCACUGCGAUACAAGCCGUUAUGUAUUUCUUUCUCUUCAAAAAUUAUCACACCGGAGCAUACAGCAAGCGCCCAACGGAAAUUUCUGGAUCGUCCCGGCAGCAGUAAAAAGUUCAAAAGAAAAGUUGCGAGCCUGCUGAACUUCAUCAGAGCCCUUACUCUAGCUGCUCCCCCUGCCCACUAGUAGGCUAUUGAUUCUACGGAUGCCUAAGGAAUGACUAAUUGCCUGCCCUCUUUUCCAGCAGAUUGCUAUGGUCUUUGUCUGUUGGUUAAGCGCAAGCCUAACGCACCUACGAGCUGCCGGUUCUCGAAUCUAACAAGUUAACAGGUUCCAAUCUUGAUGGUAUAGUGAAUACACUGAUUUUUACAUUU